UACGUAGGGCGCAAGCGUUAUCCGGAAUUAUUGGGCGUAAAGAGCUCGUAGGCGGUUUGUCGCGUCUGCUGUGAAAGACCGGGGCUCAACUCCGGUUCUGCAGUGGGUACGGGCAGACUAGAGUGAUGUAGGGGAGACUGGAAUUCCUGGUGUAGCGGUGAAAUGCGCAGAUAUCAGGAGGGACACCGAUGGCGAAGGCGGCUCUCUGGGACGGUACUGACGCUGAGACGCGAAAGCGUGGGGAGCGAACAGG
rnacentral:rRNA from 1 species